UCCCUGAAGGUCCAGUGGUUAGGACUUGGUUCUUUUUCUGCCAAGGGCCCAGGGUUCAAUCCCUGGUCAGGGAA